GCAGCCGUCGCACAGAUAGGAGCCUUUUCAUUUGCUGUGUUAACCGCGUAUGCAUCGUGGCUGAGCACAGUUGCCGUUCAAUAGGGCGAACUGGAUGCUUUUGUUGUAAUCUGAUGAAAGAAGAUAAAAUGCAGUUCGUGACCACCGAGAUAUACGAGCCUGGAUAGAGGGUAUUGCGAGUUUUGAAGCGAAAUCUGAUGGUAUAAGCUAUGGCGGUCAUAUAUUCGGACUGACUGGAGAUUGUGCAGUUGGCUAAGCCAAACUUCGAGAAAUUGGUGGAGAAAUUUAGUUGGUGACAUAAGUACUAUUUGGGUAGGCUUCAUGAGAAUCGGCAACGGUGCGCAUACCCAUCGAAUGACUACUCAACGUUUCUUGUGAAAUUAUCAGAUAACUGCCAUAUGCAAAAAGUUUGCGUUACACCGUCAACAGGCGAGCACGGCGAUUCUUUUAAUUAUUAGGAAUGAGAUCGCCUUUGACUCCGUAAUUUAUGUUGAAAAUCCCAAGGUAAAGUAAAAAUUGAUUUUUUCGUCGUUGUUUUAUCGAUGGUGAGCUACAAGCCGAUAGUCUUAUAAUAAAGGAUGAUUAGGUUCACUGUACAAACAUUGAUAGUAAUAUAGUCGAACAUUUUGAGCUUGAGUCGAACAUCGUGAGGAAAAACAAGGGACGUAAUUCAGAUUUCUCUGAAGAUCUUUUCAGUAUCUGAUGUAUGAAGCUUAACACUUUUCUGUCCCAAGUUGCAGUACACUACUACCAACUUACGAACUUUUCUUAGGAAACGAUGUGCUUCGCCAGGACACUUCGGCACGGGGUAAUCUAUCUUAUAGUUCUCCGAGCAAACUGGAAUCGCGAAGAUAAACUGCAAUGGUUUUAUGAUGCAGAACAUCUACGUUGAUGGCAGACACAACCGGUGGAAAAUGAAUUCAUGUCUCGCUGAAACUGUAGGUUGGGGAACGGGUUAUCAAGCUGUAGGAUACUAUUGGACGAAUUUACUCUGCUCUACUGCUGUUGCGUGUAAUAGCUACCAUGGAUGUGGCCGAGCUGGGCUGACUGCGGGUUCCCUCAGAUGUAAACGUAGUGGUAGAGGAAUGUGAAUGUACUAGCAGAGUAUCUGUCUCGUAUCUGGAACUGAAAAAGCCUAUCCACGACAUCCGAGGACUUGGUUUUUUAAGGUGCUUUCUCGCCAUCCGUUCGAGUGCCUAUCCGACUCUUCGUUAUCAUUCAACGCAAUUAAAUUUCGAGACAGACGGGAGAACCUUGGGAAAUUUCUCGUAAGGACUCCCCGCCGUGCUGCGGAUCUUUGCCGGUUUUUGGGAAACUUUAUUGAAACACGUGAAACAAAAGGGCGUGCGUUCGUGGAUUCAUGCAUUCGUAACGCCUCACAGAUCGCUAUCUAUCGCGCAAACUAUCUAUAUUGCCUCAACGUCCAUAUUCACCAAGGUUCAUGUUGCGUGUCACUUCGAAAGUUUCAGAAAACGUUUCUGGACGUCAAAUUGAUGAUUGACACAUGCGCAACUGACAGAGCGGAUCAUACGUACUACAUACGUACACAAAGGGCUUUGUUCAGAGGUCUAAUCGUCACCGAUGAGUAGGUGAGUAAUUAACAGAACUUCGUGUAAUGACUUUAGUGAUGAUUCAUCAAGACGGGACCGAUAAUUUUGUGGACAACUUACCCACCUGAGCCAUAGUCAAUGAAAUGUUGAUUCAGAAUGAAAUAUUUCAAGAAUUCUAAUUAUUACUUCUUAAGUCUCCUGAUUUCAGAUAUUAUGGCACAUGAUUGUUGAUUAGGUGCUGUACUAGGAAAGGUAUUAUGGCACAUGAUGGUUGAUUAGGUGCUGUACUAGGAAAGGUAAGCAUUGCGCUUAACUUAAUUGUAACGUACGACACCUCUUAUGACGAAGAACUCACUCCGAAAUAUCAUGUGGACCCACAUACCUACAUUAUCUGAAAAAGCCGGUUUUCAAGUUCAUGGUGGUUUAUAGUGUAUACGUACAAAGUUUUGGUACUUACAGGUGUUGCAACUCAGAAAAUGAAGUCAGCGCCAUUUUUUGAGGUUCAUCUAAAGACCGAGGUGCUCUCCGAAUUUAUAACUACAAUGUAUUUUUAAGGGUUUUGCAGAAGUGGUGUUUCACAGCAUCGGACCCUACAGGCGCUUAACCGAGGACCCGUAUCGAAAAAAACUUUCAUCAGCGCCUACAGGCGCUUAACCGAGGACUCGUAUCGAAAAAAACUUGUGACUGUAAACAAUAAAUCGUCAAACAAAUUAUUCUGAAAAUACCUGGAAAAUGAAUACCAUGAAUAAUGGAGAAUGAAUGGUGAAGCUUUAUUUUCUUGAGGCCAUACUUCUGCGAAAAUUUAUCAGCGGAAGAAUUAAGCAAGGUCUUGAUGAAGUGAAUAAUCGUAGGUGAAUGGUGCGGGCAAGAAGGGAGUUUGAUUGUACAUCGUAGACCAACGAUAAGGUGGAAACGAUUGUUUAGGAACUUAGUCGCGAUCGAGAAAAUAAAGCAACAAAUACAAUCCACUUGUUCGUUCGACAACCAAAGCACACACUUUACCUGAGUCUAGUAAUGACUAAGGAAUAUCCAAAAUUGGCUUUCCGUGAGCCAUGUAGUGCCUUUCUUGGGACACGACUGGUGGGCGAGUAUUGUGUUCUAGUUAAUCGAUAAUGGCAUAUGUUCGGUGUAUAUGGCUGUUCGUAAGCUGCCAAAGCGUUAAUAAAACUCAUUAGAAUUAGCCCA
rnacentral:lncRNA from 1 species